GAUUGAACGCUGGCGGCAGGCCUAACACAUGCAAGUCGAACGGUAGCACAGAGAGCUUGCUCUCGGGUGACGAGUGGCGGACGGGUGAGUAAUGUCUGGGAAACUGCCUGAUGGAGGGGGAUAACUACUGGAAACGGUAGCUAAUACCGCAUAACGUCGCAAGACCAAAGUGGGGGACCUUCGGGCCUCAUGCCAUCAGAUGUGCCCAGAUGGGAUUAGCUUGUAGGUGAGGUAACGGCUCACCUAGGCGACGAUCCCUAGCUGGUCUGAGAGGAUGACCAGCCACACUGGAACUGAGACACGGUCCAGACUCCUACGGGAGGCAGCAGUGGGGAAUAUUGCACAAUGGGCGCAAGCCUGAUGCAGCCAGGUCCGCGUGUAUGAAGAAGGCCUUCGGGUUGUAAAGUACUUUCAGCGAGGAGGAAGGCGAUAAGGUUAAUAACCUUGUCGAUUGACGUUACUCGCAGAAGAAGCACCGGCUAACUCCGUGCCAGCAGCCGCGGUAAUACGGAGGGUGCAAGCGUUAAUCGGAAUUACUGGGCGUAAAGCGCACGCAGGCGGUCUGUCAAGUCGGAUGUGAAAUCCCCGGGCUCAACCUGGGAACUGCAUCCAAAACUGGCAGGCUAGAGUCUGUAGAGGGGGGUAGAAUUCCAGGUG
rnacentral:rRNA from 1 species